rnacentral:rRNA from 1 species
GACGAACGCUGGCGGCGUGCUUAACACAUGCAAGUCGAACGGUGAAGCGCCUUCCUUUUUGGUGGGUGUGGAUGAGUGGCGAACGGGUGAGUAACACGUGAGUAACCUGCCCCCUUCUUCUGGAUAACCGCAUGAAAGUGUGGCUAAUACGGGAUAUUCUGGGUCUGUCGCAUGAUGGGUCUGGGAAAGAUAUUGUUUCGGUGGGGGAUGGGCUCGCGGCCUAUCAGCUUGUUGGUGGGGUGAUGGCCUACCAAGGCGGUGACGGGUAGCCGGCCUGAGAGGGUGGACGGUCACACUGGGACUGAGACACGGCCCAGACUCCUACGGGAGGCAGCAGUGGGGAAUGUUGCACAAUGGGCGCAAGGCUGAUGCAGCGACGCCGCGUGAGGGAUGGAGGCCUUCGGGUUGUGAACCUCUUUCGCCAGUGAAGCAGGCCUGCCUCGUUUGUGGGUGGGUUGACGGUAGCUGGAGAAGAAGCGCCGGCUAACUACGUG